GCAUAUGGAAGUUACUAUGACAAGAAUAGUGCAGCAUGUGGGCAGUCAGUCUCUAGGCAGCAAGCUGGGAUCAGCCACUGUGGAUUUCUCUGGUGUUAGGGAGUACAGCUGGAUUUCCCAUUACUAGUGAUUUGAGAGCAGCCAGGGAUGAGCCUAGGCCUUGUGAGAACUCUGUUCUCUCCCUGGAAUGGAUGAAGGCAUUAUAGGGGACAUCAGAAGAGGGUGACCAUGGCCAGAGUUGACUCAGGAAGUAGGCUGAAAGCAACAUCUUGCAGAUUUACCACAGAACCGUUUCCUCUAGACACCACAUUACAGAAUUAAUGGAGAUAAUUAGAAAUAGUCAAUGUGCUAAUUUUUCCGUAUUUGUUUAAUGCAACUGCACAUUGGUGACUUUAUUGUGUUUGCCAUCAACUUGCCCUGGGGUAUCAUUCUCAGAGGCAAAGGCAGAUGAUGUUUCAUGUUAGUUUAUUUUCCGUAGCUCUCCCAGUACUGGGCGUGAAGUGGUUCAACAGGAAUGCUUUCCAGCUGCUGCUGCUGCUGAGGAAAGAAGCCACCACCGCGAACCUGCUAACAGGGAAACACAUGGGGUCAUACUCCUGGCAGGAACUUACUCUUCCUGCCAAAAGGGGAAUUUAAAAUCCUCAUGUCUGUCCACAGAGAAUCAAUAUUGGCCCAGAAAGAAGAGUUACCUAUGAGGAAGACAGAAGGAAUGAUGGUACAAUUAGUCAAGCUGUCCUUUAGCAUUUUGCUGAACCUAAAGGAGGGAAUCGGAGUUGUGUAUGGAAAUCUAUUGGUAAACUCAGUACUUCAAGCAUUUUUGGUACAAGCAAAGACUAAAAGCUAUCUGAGUGUCAUUGUUGGGAGUCUAAAGCGACAGAGGGGACAUGAGAGAGCAGAUUGUCUUGGAUACACAAGAGGGUUCCCAGAACUUGGAAGAAGAGAAAUCCCAGCUGGGCCAGCACCUUUCCCUUGUAUAUUCUGGUUAAGGGUCAUCAACAUUUCCUUGGUGACCAGAUCGGAGGCAGAUUUCAGAACUCACUGUGUAUCUUUUCAGCAUGUUGAAUAAACUGCGUAUUGUUCUCAUUCA